AGAGUGUCUGCUGUUAAAAUAAGUGUCUUGAGGUAGGAUAUGGCGCCUUGUGCCAUAUCUUUUGCAAUCUUUUCACCCAUUGUUCAAUAAUAGUAUAGGCUUAAUAAUUAGUCAUACUAAUGAGUAAUGGCCCGCUCGUAGGCGGCAAUGCUAGUUCGAAUGCUGUUAUUUAUGGUUGAAAUGAAUAACUGAUUAUUGAUAUCAGGCAUGUGUAUCGACGAAUUCGAUAAUCUAAUAUGGGAACGUCCCGUGGUUUGACCAUAUGGGAAGUUUGAACUGGUGUAACCAUUCGUUUAUUGUGAUGAAAGUGGUUUUAUCUACAGCGCCCCGUGAUAAAUAUGUCUUGGGAAGGCUUGAGCUGUGUCAAAUGAUUCAACCAGUGCCCCGUAGAAUGCUUGAUAAUACGGGAAGCUUGAACUGGUGUGACUGAUCGUUUAUUCAGUUAUAUGAAAGUGGUUUUAUCUACAGCGCCCCGUGAUAAAUAUGUCGUGGGAAGGCUUGAGCUGUAUGAAAUGAUUAAACCAGUGCCCUGUGGAAUGCUUGAUAAUACGGGAAGCUUGAAC